UUUAAAUGUCGUCAUCAUCAUCAUCAUCAUCAUCAUCAUCAUCAUCAUCAUCAUCAUCAUCAUCCACCCGAUGCGACCCUGACUCAGUCCAAAAAGUUUUCGUUCUCGCUACCUGGACUGAGCCGAUGUCCAUUGCGCGCAAUGGGCAACGGUUGCCGGCAACCUACCUACUCAGCCGCAUCGUCUCACGAAUGACUACAAUAUUUAGUCAUUUAGAGUACGAUGAAAAACGCCGAAUUCAAGAUAGAACGACAGUAAAUACGAUUUUAAAAUGCCUUUUAUAAAGUUAUCAGAUGUAUUACGAAAGCAGAAGGAACAGGGAAGAAAAUUAGGGAAACACGAUCGAAUCGACCAUACGUAUAUUUGCUUACUGUCGAUUACCGAAGGGUCAACUCACAGCCUAUAGCAUUGAGAAAAUCUUUUAUUUUUGUAAAUUAUUUUUGUAAAUAAUGAAAUAGGAAAAUGUGCACACAAAGCUUUGCGGAUUUGUUGGUAUGGAAAGGUUGCUUAGAUGACGAUAUACCGUAUAGCGAAUUAAUGCCAGGGCGUCACUCCGUGUCGAUUUGUUUUCGUAAACACGACUAGAAAAGGUCGAAUCAAGGAUCGAACGACAGAAGAUACGAUUUUUAAUUCUUUUUAAAAAUGCAGCAGACGUUUUACAAAAGCAGAAUUAAUCAGCAAAAGGAUUAAACACAUCGGCAAACACGAAAUUGACAGAAUUCCUAUACGUGCUUGCAUCGUGUAACGAAGGGUCAACAACACAGGCUAUAGCACGGGGAAAAGUGCUUAUAUUUAUAAUAAAGAGAAAAAAUUGUCUAAAGAGCUUUGUGGAGUUUUUUAAUAUGUGAAAGUCUGUGUUGUUUUUAUUUUGAUGGGGAGUACGGGUGGGGGGACGUCAGUCAGUGUCAUUUGUUUUCCUUUUCCAAAGAGUUCCAAAACACGUCCAGAAUGCUUUCUAAAAAGUAUAGAGGCGGAUCACAAAAGCAGAAGGAAAAGGGGGAAAGUGAUAUAUUGUAUGCACUAUAAUACUAUAUUUUUAUCCUUAGUCUUUAAUGUGUGAUUUUUUUUUCUGGUACAAAGUUAGCAAGUAUUUUUUUGUAACUAGUCAUUUUAUUGAAGGGAGGAGUCAUUUCGAUGUUCUCUACUUAAAACAAAAUUAAAAAAAACCAAACCAAAAACUGAUUAUUUCGAAGAGUAAAAUUAAGAAAUAAAAUGAUACAAAUAGAUCAAACAUUUAUAAUAUCACCAAGAAGAAUUAAUGUCAAAGCUAAUGAAAACGAGAACCCCACUAAUUCGUGUCUCCCUGUUGUGAGCUCCUCCAUUAGUCUCGGUGCUUUUUUUUUUUUUAAAUUUUGUGAAGACGUGUGCACUUAAUCAAGCAUGCCUCGGAUAAGAAAGUGGUAUCCAGCUGGAUAUACCCUCUUUGUGCGUAAACUCGGGCAGGUUCGUAAACGUAAGGAACGAUUUUUCGCUGUGGAUGUGAGAGCUUGGAUGCGGCUCAAGAGAACUCUUCAACAGCGGCAAAAUGGACGUGUAAGCACCCAGACACAGGAGGAACGUGACAUCAUCCAGGAUAUUCUUCGAGAUAGCAACAAUGGAACCAGUUUUCAAAAGAACCACGGCUUUUAAUGUGUUCUGCAGCAAAAGGCUGAAGGAUCGGACAAAUACUAAUUCCUUAGAAGUUUCAUUAAAGGAAUUACCAAAGGCCAAAAGAACACGAGUCACAUGGGAUGCAAUGACAGUUUAAGCAUAAGAAAACAGUUUGGGGCCUCUUGGGGCCGUUGAUCACAUACCCACUUCAAUGGAAAUUGAAUAAAUUCGCCAGGACAAUCCAGUUUUGGCUAAAUUUUAUAUUAAUUCUUUGAUAUUAAUCAAAUUAACCAGAAAAUUUAUAAAAGUAGAAUGAAAAGAAAAUAACAUUUAUUAUUUAUGGUUUACAUUUGUGCAUAGCUUAGGAUUUACUUUAAAUUUAGUCAGAUAAGACAUAAUGAACCAUCUUGCAUGUUGUGACUUCUGGAUAUACAUACAAGUAUUGGCUCUUCAGUAACUGCAUUGGCUUUAGAGCAGAGUAGUGCUGAAUGAUUUUCCAUUGCAGUCCGAACAGCAGAUUGUAAAAUGUGAUUCAUAUUCACCAAGUCAGUACUGUCAUGUAUAUAUGGGAGUAAGUGUGCUGUUUUCUCUUUUCAUUUGUUUUAAAUUUGUAUUAAUAUAUUUCGCACAUUGUAAAAUUUCUUCUUCAAUGUGGACAUAAAAACAUUUCAUGGGAUUAAAAAGUGUAUGUCAGUUUUCAGAAAAAAUAUGCAGUUGAUGUCUUUUGUCUGUUUUGAAUGUGUCUCAAAGCAUGGAAAGGAAGUAAAUGUGUAACAAAAAAGUAUGGAUGGUGGAAAGAGGUCGAAGCCUUUAUCUGUAACUUUAAAACAGACUCAGUUUCCUCCUCCUCCUCCUCCUCCUUUUGACUGGUAAUUUCUUUCUGAUAAAAAAAAAACAGUUUUAGAACUGAUCUUGAUGUCAGAUCUUAAGGUGUGAUUUAAAAGAAAGACCGAAUAGCGCUGACAAAAAAAGAUAAUUCAAACAGCUGAUAAAUUGAAAACCAUUAUGCUUACACUAUUUCCGGCUUAAGAAGGACGGGGAAAACAUCAAAGGAUGAUUAAGAACCCUCAACCUUGUGUGGCUAUGAAUCCAGCUUUUAUUCUAGCGCCGCUUUGACAGUAUAUAAUACAGUAUCCAAUAACAGUAGAGCACAAAUUAGUAAAACAUAUCUAGGUAUGCUGCAUAACGACGGAAUAUUUAGCAAUUCAACUUGGCUUUAAUUACAUACUUGGCGUCUAUAUCCCCCACGGUGACCUCAUACAGCUUACUUUCCCUAAGCAACAUAUUAGUAUUUGGUCUCUUCUUGACCGAAACCGUCAAAUGAAACACGUGGAUCGCAACAGACACAGCAGCGAUUGACACAUUGAACAUGACUUACAGAAGCACUAUCAUACAGUUUGCUACAUAGUACGGAUGCCGAAGUUUAGUCUAGU
rnacentral:lncRNA from 1 species